rnacentral:rRNA from 1 species
UCGAGAGUUUGAUCCUGGCUCAGGAUGAACGCUAGCGGCAGGCUUAACACAUGCAAGUCGAGGGGUAUAGUUCUUCGGAGCUAGAGACCGGCGCACGGGUGCGUAACGCGUAUGCAAUCUACCUUUUACAGAGGGAUAGCCCAGAGAAAUUUGGAUUAAUACCUCAUAGUAUGUGAGAAUCGCAUGGUUUUUACACAUUAAACGUUCCAACGGUAAAAGAUGAGCAUGCGUCCCAUUAGCUAGA